rnacentral:rRNA from 1 species
AUUGAACGCUGGCGGCAGGCUUAACACAUGCAAGUCGAGCGGAGCGAGGGUGCUUGCACCUUAGCUUAGCGGCGGACGGGUGAGUAAUGCUUAGGAAUCUGCCUAUUAGUGGGGGACAACAUUCCGAAAGGGAUGCUAAUACCGCAUACGCCCUACGGGGGAAAGCAGGGGAUCUUCGGACCUUGCGCUAAUAGAUGAGCCUAAGUCGGAUUAGCUAGUUGGUGGGGUAAAGGCCUACCAAGGCGACGAUCUGUAGCGGGUCUGAGAGGAUGCUCCGCCACACUGGGACUGAGACGCGGCGCAGACUCCUACGGGAGGCAGCAGUGGGGAAUAUUGGACAAUGGGCGGAAGCCUGAUCCAGCCAUGCCGCGUGUGUGAAGAAGGCCUUUUGGUUGUAAAGCACUUUAAGCGGGGAGGAGGCUACUAGUAUUAAUACUACUGGAUAGUGGACGUUACUCGCAGAAUAAGCACCGGCUAACUCUGUGCCAGCCGCCGCAGUAA